rnacentral:tmRNA from 1 species
UGGCGAAUCCUCGCUUGAAAAACCCCUACCCCGCCCCCAUAAUUCAAAGCAUGGUUGUAAUUCCGGCAAUCUGGAGGCGUUCUGGACAGGGGUUCGAUUCCCCUCACCUCCACCCAAGGGCAUUCCGCUGAGUGUUCUUGGUUGGGGGUGUACUGGCUUCGACAGGGCGGGCAAAGGUGCGCAGGCAACUCGUCAGGCGAUCGACGUUAAUGAAGCAAAUCCAUAAUUGCCAAUGAUGAGAGCCUUGUUACCAAAGAUAGCCGGCGGGGACUUCGGUCCCCGUCGUCA